GAUGAACGCUAGCUACAGGCUUAACACAUGCAAGUCGAGGGGUAACGAGAGGAAAGCUCGCUUUCCUUGUCGACGACCGGCGCACGGGUGAGUAACGCGUAUCCCACCUGCCCCCAACUAGGGAAUAACCUUGCGAAAGUAAGACUAAUACCCUAUAAUUUCCUCAGAUGUCAUCUGACGAGGAAUAACGAUUAAUCGGUUGUGGAUGGGGAUGCGUCUGAUUAGCUUGUUGGCGGGGUAACGGCCCACCAAGGCAACGAUCAGUAGGGGUUCUGAGAGGAAGGUCCCCGACAUUGGAACUGAGACACGGUCCAAAAUCCUACGGGAGGCAGAAGUGAGGAAUAUUGGUCAAUGGGCGGAAGCCUGAACCAGCCAAGUAGCGUGCAGGAUGACGGCCCUAUGGGUUGUAAACUGCUUUUAUACAGGAAUAAAGUUAGCCACGUGUGGUUAUUUGUAGGUACUGUAUGAAUAAGGACCGGCUAAUUCCGUGCCAGCAGCCGCAGUAA
rnacentral:rRNA from 1 species